rnacentral:rRNA from 1 species
UGGGGAAUUUUGGACAAUGGGCGAAAGCCUGAUCCAGCAAUGCCGCGUGUGUGAAGAAGGCCUUCGGGUUGUAAAGCACUUUUGUCCGGAAAGAAAUCCUUGGCUCUAAUACAGUCGGGGGAUGACGGUACCGGAAGAAUAAGCACCGGCUAACUACGUGCCAGCAGCCGCGGUAAUACGUAGGGUGCAAGCGUUAAUCGGAAUUACUGGGCGUAAAGCGUGCGCAGGCGGUUUGCUAAGACCGAUGUGAAAUCCCCGGGCUAACCUGGGAACUGCAUUGGUGACUGGCAGGCUAGAGUAUGGCAGAGGGGGGUAGAAUUCCACGUGUAGCAGUGAAAUGCGUAGAGAUGUGGAGGAAUACGAUGGCGAAGGCAGCCCCCUGGGCCAAUACUGACGCUCAUGCACGAAAGCGUGGGGAGCAAAACAGGAUUAGAUACCCUGGUAGUCCACGCCCUAAAACGAUGUCAACUAGUUGUUGGGGAUUCAUUUCCUUAGUAACGUAGCUAACGCGUGAAGUUGACCGCCUGGGGAGUACGGUCGCAAGAUUAAAACUCAAUGAAUUGACGGGGUCAUAGCUGUUUCCU